rnacentral:lncRNA from 1 species
AUGGUGAUCUUUUCUAAAAACGAUAGGACAGGUGUGGAGGAGAAUGAAGCAAGAGAAUGGGUUCCUAAGUCUGUGAGCUCAUCUGAAGAUGAUGGGACAGAUGACUGGAUACCCACACAGGAUGAAUCUGAAGGCUAUUCAGAAGAGGAGGAAGAACAAGAACAUAAAAGGAUUCCUAAGGUAGCCAUGAAAAAUAAAACUGGGUGUCCUGUGCCACAAAGAGAGGUGAAAUUCAUCCUCAGUUUCAGUGCUUCCACAAUCUAUCUAGUGCAGUUCGAUAUAACGAUAUAUAUCGGAUGACGAUAUAAAAACAUCUAUCGUUUCAUUUUGCGCUAUCGUUUGUUUCGUGGUGUCGCAAAAUAAACUGUUUACGGCAAUAUUUUUUUCAUCGUUUUGAUGGUCACUGUAGUGUAAUUUCUUAAAGUUCUCUCUUUCUCUUAUAUUUAAUAUAACCACACUACAGACAGACAAGUGCUUGUUUUUAUGCGUUGUCGUUAGCAACAACGACGGUAAAACCACCGCGUGUCCGCUUGUUUAUUUUCCACAUAAACCUUUCACAAUAAAGCUCAAGAUCCUGUUGAUUCUUUUCAAAAUAAACUGAAUCACGUGAAAGAUGCAGAGUAUUUACUGAUUAGAAGCAAAAAAGAGCUGUCAGGUGCUAAAAAAAUAAACCUUAGAUUCAAACGUUAGAACAGGCCUUUCCCCGCAGCACGCCGUGUAAUAAAUACUCACAAAGAAAACAGCGGCCGUUACAUCCUAUGUCUAAAAAUGUAUAGUUUCAUGCAUCAGUUAAAACACUCGACUCUAGGUCCAUGAUGCCCAGCUGGAAAACACUUCACGAAAGUUGAGCUGCCCGAGAUUCACAGAAUUUACAGAAAAUGUUACAUUUUUGUGAUUUAUAUCGUUAUCGGACGAUAGAUGUCUUAAUAUCGGGAUAUGAGAUUUUGGUCAUAUCGCACAGCCCUAAAUGUAUCUAUCAAAAAUUUGCCAAACAUAUUGUUGUCUUCUCCUAAAACAGAUGCUGGCAGCAUCUGAAGAGGAUGGGACACAUGAUAGUAGACCCACACAGGAUGAAUCUAAAGAUGAUUCAAAAGAUGAAGCAGAACAUUUGGGACAAAUGAUUCACAAAGUGGCCAUGGAAAAGGACAGGGAAACGGCGAUAAGCUUAUUACCAGUACAACACCAAAUUCCAGUUGUUACUCUGAAUUCAGUCACUCUCAAGACACCCAUGAAGGACAAGGUCGCACUGGAGGUCCCUCCUGGUAUGCAGCAGGCCUAUGUAAACCAAGACACAGCAAGGACUGUGAAUAAGAGUUCAGAAAAAAGUGUGAUUCACCAAACCAGUUACUUGAAGAGGCUCAUUUUUCAUCAGUCAACUCUCUUUGAAGACACCAUACCAAGAUCUGGUAACUGGAAACCAGCAGCUGUAGUAAAAAUACACAAGUUCAAAGAACUUUAAGGUGAAGUGGUAUUUAUUUAUUUCUCAUAUGGUCUUAGAUAACAACAAGAAAGACCAAAGUGGAAUGUCAUCUGCAGCAAUAAUAACCUCAGGUAAAUAUUAACAUUAUAUUGCACAAUAUGAACAAUGUUAACUUAAUCAGUAAGUAAAUGAUUAUUUUCUUAAAAUAAAGAACAACUGGAAGAGAAAGAGAUACAAGAAGAAUCUCUGGAGAAGAUGAAGUGUGAAGACAAAGGAGGGAAGAGAAAAGAAAAAGUACAGCAGGAGCCUCUGGAGAAGAUGAGGGGCAAAAGGCAAAGGAAGGAAGAAAAGAUACAGGCAGAGCCUCUGGAGAAGAUGAAGAGUGAAGCCAAAGUAGGAAAGAGAAAAGAAAAAGUACAGCAGGAGCCUCUGGAGAAGAUGAGGAGCAAAAGGCAAAGGAAGGAAGAAAAGAUACAGGCAGAGCCUCUGGAGAAGAGAAUUAAGAUUAUGAAAUAAAAGAAGGAAAAAUCCACAGAGUUCUCAAAGAAAUGGCGAGAGAAAGUCUCAGAAAAUAAGGUGCAUGAAAGAGUUGUUAAUUAAAAGUGAUCAUCUAAUGAGUUACUGUCAUGUUUAUUUUCUGGAAUCACUGGUGCUCUCAGACUUGACAUUAUAUAAUUCCACCAUAUGUGAGAUCAGUCAAAUUAAGAAAGGAAUCAAAAUAGCUAUACCAAUGGCUGCAGAAAAGUGACAGUGGUCAAACAACAUCAUUGAGCAUGACAAAACACUUUUGAAGACAGCAGUCUCCAGAUACCUCAUCAUUGAAGACAAAUGACACACAUCUAUUGUGGAGAAAAUUCGGUUCAAAUCAAUUUUAUUUAUAUAGCGGCAAAUCACCACAACAUUCGCCUCAAGGCACUUUAUAUUGUAAGGUAGACCCUACAAUAAUACAUACAGAUAUAAACCCAACAAUCAUAUGACCCCCUAUGAGCAAGCACUUUGGCGACAGUGGGAAGGAAAAACUCCCUUUUGACAGGAAGAAACCUCCAGCUGAACCAGGCUCAGGGAGGGGCGGGGCCAUCUUCUGCGACCGGUUGGGCUGAGAGAAGGAAGACAGGAUAAAGACAGAAGAGAGACAGAGAUUAAUAACAGAUAUGAUUCAAUGCAGAGAGGUCUAUUAAUACAUGGUUAGUGAGAAAGGUGACUGAAGAAGAAAUGCUCAAUGCAUCAUUGGAAUCCCCCAGCAGCCUACACCUACAGCAGCAUGACUAAGGGAGGAUUCAGGGUCACCUGAUCCAGUCUUAACUAUAUACUUUAGCAAAAUGGAAAGUUUUAAGCCUAAUCUUGAAAGUAGAGAUAGUGUCUGUCUCCAAAAUCCAAACUGGUUCCACAGAAGAGGGGCCUGAAAAGUGAAGGCUCUUCCUCCCAUUCUACUUUUAAAUACUCUAGGAGCAACAAGUAAGCCUGCAGUGCGAGAGCAAAGUGCUCUAAUAGGGUGAUAUGGUACUACAAGGUCAUUAAGAUAAGAUGAGGGCCUGAUUAUUUAAGACCUUGUAUGUGAGGAGCAGGAUUGUUAAAUUCAAUUCUGGAUUUAACAGGAGCCAAUGAAGAGAAGCCAAAACAGGAGAAAUAUGCUCUCUCUUUCUAGUCCCUGUCAGUACUCUUGCUGCAGCAUUUUGGAUUAAAUGAAGGCUUUUCAGGCAGUUUUUAGGACAUCCUGAUAAUAAUGAAUUACAGUAGUCCAGCCUAGAAGUAAUGAAUGCAUGAACUAGUUUUCCAGCGUCGCGCUGAGACAGGAUAUUUCUAGAGAUGUUGCGCAAAUGAAAGAAAGCAGUCCUACAUAUUUGUUUAAUAUGUGCAUUGAGGACAUAUCCUGGUCAAAAAUUACUUCAAGGUUCCUCACAGUGUCACUAGAGGCCAAGGUAAUGCCAUCCAGAGUAAGAAUCUGGUUAGAUACCAUAUUUCUAAAAUUUUCAGGGCUGAAUACAAUAACUUCAGUUUUAUCUGAAUUUAGAAGCAGAAAAUUAGAGGUCAUCCAGGUCUGCCCUGGGACAAACUUGUUGGACUUACAACAGAUGGAGCGCCCACAAUGUGUGGUGAAAAAAGUGAACUAUUCGGCAGGAUUCGAGUAAAAGAUGCAGGAUGUGAACUAUACGGGUGAGUUAACAGCAUAUCACUGCAUCACACACCAGCAAACGCUGUGUAGUAAAGUCCUAAAAAUGGAGCAUGUAAUGAGUACUGUAACGCAAAAGGUCAAUUUUAUUCUAGCUAAAGGUUUAAAUUACUGUCAAUUUCAGUCUUUUGUGCAGGAAAUAGAUUCAGAGUUUGCCGACAUGCCUUAUCAUACAGAGGUCCAUUGGCUGAGUUGGGGAAAAGUUCUCAAUAGUGUGUGGUGGCAGAUUUCUUUUCUCAUAUAUUAAUCACAUAUUUAAUUAUAUCACAUUAGUUAUAGUAAUAUCACUUUCUCACUUUACCAUAGUAAGAGCACUCCUGCCCAGGUAGAUGUUAUUUUAUAUAUUAUGAUUUGUAUGUUGUUCAGUAUAUUUCUAUGCAAAACAAGAGGAAUUUCAAUACACAGCAGUAUAUUCACAGUUUAAACCAGAUAUUUACAUACACUUUAUGGAAAACACAAGAACAUUUUUUUACUGUACAACAUCAAUUUAGAGUAAACUUGUUUUGUUUUGGAUAAAUAUUGAAAUAUCUUUUGAAUUAGUUAAAUGUCAGAAUAAAGAGAGACAGAGCUGUCUAUUUUUAUCACUUUCAUCAAGUUUAGAAGUACAUAUACACUAAGUUUAUUGUUCAUUAAUAAGAAAACUGCAGACGAUUCCAUUCUGAGCUUAAGAAGCUUCUGAUAGGUUAGUAGAGUCCAUGUGAGUAAAUUGAUGGCACACCUGUGCCAUCAAUUUACAUAUAAGGUAAGGUGUUUUGCCUUGUGCAUAUAAGGCAAAACACAGAGCCUGUUUCUUUGACAUGGGAAAAUCAAGAGAUGUCAACCAAAACACCAGGAAAAGAAUUGUGGAGCUCCAUAAGUGUGGCUCAAUUUUGAAUACAAUUUGGUGCCAUUUACAAUUAAGAAAUACAGAUAGUUUCUGUCUUUACUCUUAAAGUUAACAAAUAUGUUUUUUAUGUUUAUCAAUCUAAAAAAAAAUAAACAUUUAGUCUGAUUUGAUGUUACAAUUAAAAAAGUGUGUUUUUAUCUGAAGAGUAUGUAAAUAUCUGGUUUCAACUGUAUAUUUGAUGAUGUUGGUGUUUGGCUUGAUUGUCAGCACAAAGAGGGAGAGAGAGGAACAGAGACGGAGAGAGAGGAAGAGAGAGGGAGAGAGAGGAGCAGAGAGGGAACAAGAGCAGGUGAGACAGACAUGUUAGUCAAAUGGUUGUUUACCAAAAGUAUCACCGUAUCAUAGGUACUCAUGUAUCUCGUACCUAGUGUUUCUUUUUAGGUGUGUUAGUUUUCAAAUUCUAUAUUUAUUAAGUUAUGCAGGCUUGUUUGCACAACAAGGCUAAAUAAUUAUGUAAACUUUUCUGAAUCUAAAUAGUGUACUUUGGUAGAAUUAAAAAACAAGUGUAGUGCAGGUCUAUGAUGAUUUUCAGUGCUACUAUCAUCUAGUUUUGAUUCUGGUUCUGUUUUGGUUGAGUCCUAAGUAGUCCUGAUUUUGAACUGAUGUAGUCCUGUUUUAAUUCCGGAUCAGUUCUGGGUCUGGUUGAAUUGAGGCUCAGUCCUCGUGUCUUGAUACAGCCCCGACUUUGUUCUGCCUUGCUGCUUAAUUAAAAAACUAGUUUAAGGUGUCCUGCAUAUGUGAUAUAUAUUUUUCCCUAUAUGAAGUCAUUCUUUUUUGAACAAAACUCAAAACAGAGCCUAUUACUCUUUCAGUCAUUACUCCCCCCACCCCCCACCCCAAUCUCACAUGCAUACUACCCUUUAUGGCUAAUCCCCGGGUGUAUCAAAUGUCUGCCUCCGCCUCUGCUCCUGCCACUACUUUACAGGCAUGUGGAAAGUUAACACAGUGAGGCCAUUGUAAUGGGAUACAUUAAACAGAUAGUGAGAUACUCUAGGUUGCAGGACAAGAGUUUAACCUUUGUGAAGGGAAAAAAAAAGAGAUUCUGGUUUGACCAACC